AGACAGGUUAGUGAUAAGAAUGCAUUGUAAAAUCUUCAGAAGGAAAGGAGACUGUUUUGUGGACCUUUGCGGGGGGCAGUUUUAAGUUACUAGUUUUUAAAAUCA
ensembl:miRNA